GACGAACGCUGGCGGCGUGCUUAACACAUGCAAGUCGAACGGAAAGGCCCUGCUUUUGUGGGGUGCUCGAGUGGCGAACGGGUGAGUAACACGUGAGUAACCUGCCCUUGACUUUGGGAUAACUUCAGGGAACUGGGGCUAAUACCGGAUAGGAGCUCCUGCUGCAUGGUGGGGGUUGGAAAGUUUCGGCGGUUGGGGAUGGACUCGCGGCUUAUCAGCUUGUUGGUGGGGUAGUGGAUUACCAAGGCUUUGACGGGUAGCCGGCCUGAGAGGGUGACCGGCCACAUUGGGACUGAGAUACGGCCCAGACUCCUACGGGAGGCAGCAGUGGGGAAUAUUGCACAAUGGGCGGAAGCCUGAUGCAGCAACGCCGCGUGCGGGAUGACGGCCUUCGGGUUGUAAACCGCUUUCGCCUGUGACGAAGCGUGAGUGACGGUAAUGGGUAAAGAAGCACCGGCUAACUACGUG
rnacentral:rRNA from 1 species